ACCCUCCAAGGCUAAAUACUACCUAGUGACCGAUAGCGUAUAGUACCGUGAGGGAAAGGUGAAAAGAACCCCGGGAGGGGAGUGAAAUAGAAACUGAAACACUGCACUUACAAGCUGUGGAAGAACAGUGCUUGUGUGACCGCGUACUUUUUGUAGAACGGGCCAACGAGUUACGAUAAGUAGCAAGGUUAAGCACUUAAGGUGCGGAGCCGUAGCGAAAGCGAGUUUUAACUUAGCGUUCAGUUACUUGCAGGAGCCCCGAAACCGGGCGACCGACACAUGAACAGGAGGAGGCGACAGUAAAAUAUCGAGGAGGUCCACACCCCCGAGCGUUGAAAAGCUCGGGGAUGACUUGUGGGUAGCGGUGAAAUUCCAAUCGAGCCCGGAGAUAGCUGGUUCUCCCCGAAAUAGCUUUAGGGCUAGCCUCAAGGUGAGAGAUACGGA
rnacentral:rRNA from 1 species